AGAGUUUGAUCAUGGCUCAGAUUGAACGCUGGCGGCAGGCCUAACACAUGCAAGUCGAGCGGUAACGCGGGGCAACCUGGCGACGAGCGGCGGACGGGUGAGUAACGCGUAGGAAUCUACCUAGUAGUGGGGGAUAGCCCGGGGAAACUCGGAUUAAUACCGCAUACGCCUUAAGGGGGAAAGCAGGGGAUCUUCGGACCUUGUGCUAUUAGAAGAGCCUGCGUUGGAUUAGCUAGUUGGUAGGGUAAAGGCCUACCAAGGCGACGAUCCAUAGCUGGUCUGAGAGGAUGAUCAGCCACACUGGGACUGAGACACGGCCCAGACUCCUACGGGAGGCAGCAGUGGGGAAUAUUGGACAAUGGGGGCAACCCUGAUCCAGCCAUGCCGCGUGUGUGAAGAAGGCCUUCGGGUUGUAAAGCACUUUAAGUGGGGAGGAAGGGGUGAAAACUAAUACUUUUCAUCAUUGACGCUACCCACAGAAUAAGCACCGGCUAACUCUGUGCCAGCAGCCGCGGUAAUACAGAGGGUGCAAGCGUUAAUCGGAAUUACUGGGCGUAAAGCGCGCGUAGGCGGCUAAUUAAGUCGGGUGUGAAAGCCCCGGGCUCAACCUGGGAAUUGCAUCCGAUACUGAUUGGCUAGAGUAUGAGAGAGGGAGGUAGAAUUCCACGUAGCGGUGAAAUGCGUAGAUAUGUGGAGGAAUACCAGUGGCGAAGGCGGCCUCCUGGCUUAAUACUGACGCUGAGGUGCGAAAGCGUGGGGAUCAAACAGGAUUAGAUACCCUAGUAGUCC
rnacentral:rRNA from 1 species